rnacentral:lncRNA from 1 species
AUCCUGCCAGUGUCGUUAUAGGGUUACUGACAGUCUGAAAAUUGGCAGUUGUAAGAAUUCUUGGUAUAAUAUGAAACUGCACCAACUCAAUCUUCUGAUGAUCACUUAAGGAGUUAAGAACACCUGAUUUGAUAAUGGCUGAAAAGGCCCCAUCAGUUGGGGCAAAGAUGGUGACGCCAUCUCUCGAGUCAUUGAGCUGGGAGAAUACUUGGAUGUCCUCUUGAGUGGAUUUUAUAAGGCGGAUAAAGACAGCAAAGCCGCCAGCCUUCUGGAGGAUUUUAAUGACAUUAACAGGACCUUUUGAAACUUGUACAGGAACCAUAACGGGCGGCGAGGCUUGUGCAGAUGAGGUCGCAGCUGGUGGAGGUGCAGAGGCUGCAGCAGGUGCUUUUGCUGGUGCUGUAGUAGGAGACUGGGAUAGUGUUUGGGUGCAGUGGAGGAAGAGAAGGACAAGUGAAAAUGAGAAGAGGGAAAAUUGUUGCUUCAUCUUUGUGUGGUUUUUGGGUUGUAUUGUUUGGAUAGCUUGGGAGCUAUGCAGAAUUGCUAAUACAAAUAUGCCAAUACUACCUGUUCGAAUGCUUGAUGUGCAAAGAGAGGAUAGUGAGGGUUUUUAUUAUGGUUGCGAGAGGAUGAGAUUAGGUGAAAUGUGUAAUUUCAGUUUCACAAACAUAGCAGCUACUUCAGCAGCAACUAGUUUUCUCGAAAAGUAGGAGGGGAGAUUGUGUUAAAGAUGUGCAUGAUUGUUGAAAUGAGCUCUGUCUGUGUCAAACAGGAAGGAUAGCUUUAUCAAUCAACUUUCUGUGUGAUGCUUCACCAAAUGUAUCAUGUUUUCCAGGGGGGAAAAUAAUGGACAGAACAAAAAAAAAAAACAAUCUGUUGCAAAGUGACGGGAAAUUUGAGAUAAGCAUACAGGAAACAAAUGUGAAAAAAGAAAAUCACUAGAAAAUGUUGUGAUCAAUGUGACCAUGACCAAAUCUAUGUCUUCGUUUUGUGUUCUUAGCCUCAGUAGUUAGAAUCAGCAGGUUAAUGGUUGCAGAUACUUGAUCUAAGCUAUUAUUUCAAUCUACGAUUUUUUCUUUUGGGAAUUGCCGGUGAAAAAUAGUACCAUUGGCAUGAUCCUACUGAUUGCCAAGAAAUUUUCUGGGUGACUUGUGCUCGUUGUCUUCAUGGGGCUGCUAACAAUCAAAGAGAACUAGACAUACCGGGGAAUGAGGAGUUGACGGCUCUUGUGAGUAUUCGUUGUGAACAAGCUCAAUCUUGAGAAUUCCUGAGAGCAAGUUGCCUCCGCGUGCCUCAUAGAUAUGCUUGAAUGGAUAUUCCAGUUAUUGUUCCACUAUUGUUGCUUUUAGUCUUAGGGCAUACAGAGAGACAAAUAGAUAGAGAGUACAAGGAUUGGUUCCUGUACUUUGGGUUCCGGUGUGGUUGGUUCUGAGUUUUCUGACCGGAACCAUCGACAAAUUUAUUGGCAUUGAAAGAAUAACAUGCCAGUAAGAAAGAAAAACAACGCAGCUUUUCAUAAUUAACAGUUUCAGCUUUAGCUGGAUGCAGAUUGCCUACUGUUAGUUCCAUGUCUUGCUAAACAUAUCAUUAUGAUCGAUAAAUUAUUACAUGAAUCCUGUCCAUAGGACCAAAACAGCUUUAAUUGGUUCAAGCAGUGGACCUCACUGUUUAUAACCCGUUGGUGCUGCAAAUCCAGACAAUAUGACUGGCUUUGUCGUCCAAUAGAGCAGGUUCAUGUAAUGAUCUCUCAUAUGUUACAUGCAUACAAUCAUGUAUUUUGAUAUCAUUAAAUUAUCUGCGUUCUUUUGAUCAGGAAGAACUUCAGCUUGUACUCUUCAGGAAUAGCAACAAGAAGAAUCUGUUUGCGAAAAGGUUAUGAAUGCUAAUUUUUCCUGUAAUAUUUGUAUGAUUAAGUUCAUGUUAUGUAGCACUAAUUUGCUUCGUCUUUAAACCUUUUUAUGCUCCUCCAAGUGGAUUUUAAUCAUUUAUGGUGCUAGGAUUUCUUGCUCCUUUGGCUGAUGAUUUCUCGCUUACCUCCUUUCCUAGUUGCAUCUACUGUUGGUAGUUUGCAGGUGUUUGAUUUUUUUUAUUUCAAGUGAAAUGGAGUAGUUGAAUUUGGAGAAUUUGUUCGUCCAAUAUUUGUCUAAAGACAAUCGUGUAAUUUCAAGGAUAACAUUACCAUAUUUUUUCUUCCAGGGAUAUAACGUUGUCUUUAAUUCCUAGUUUACAGCUAACUUUCGAUCAGUUGUACUAAAAAGAUGAUGGAGUCGGAACAAGCAUCGAUACAAGGUCUAGAAAGACUUAAGUCGCAGUCUUUUGGUUUGUCUAAUUGUCUUCAAUGGAGAGUUGAUAAAGCUUAGCCUGGUUCAUGGUUUGAUUUGUACAUUGCAUCACAGCAGCAGAAAUUUUCUGGCCAUAUGUUACAGUGUUUGAGGAGAUGCUUUGAUGCAGAGAGGUGAUUUUAUAAUAUAAAUGUGAAUUUCAAGAUGUUAAUUUGAAUGCUUCCAAAUUAAUGUGGGAUUGAAAAAUCAAAGCACAUCAACAUUAUAUUUCUUUUUCUCUUAUAUAAAUUACAAUUCCACAGAAUACAUGAAAGCAGAAUAAGAGCAAUAACCAAUAAAUAAAAAUAAAAAUCAGAGGCAGAGUUAAUUACAAACUUGGAAGAACACAAAUAGAAUUGAGAGGAAAUGACAAUUAUUCAAAGCAAAUGAACCUGUUAAACACCACAGUUCAUUACAACCAGCAGAAUCAUGAACCACUGAUGAAGAAAUUGAUACCUUGUCAAAACACCAGGGUCACAAAUGAAAAGCUGCAGCAACUAUGAUAACUCCGGAGAUAAGCAUGGUAUUAAGCAUGACACAGCUUACUGCACCAGAAAUAUCCUUUGGAACCAUAGGAGUGUCUGCACCAUUAUCCUUUUUAGGCUUUGGUGGUGCUGGUGCAGGAGCAAGAGCUUUAGGGGCAAAAAUAUCCAAGGGAAGGAGCACCUUGUCGACUUGAUAGACAGCAAGCUGGCUAUCGGUGUAUACAAUUGCCGAUACACUUGUAUUGGUAAGUCCUGAAGUUACAUUCACCAUAUUUUCUGUGGUUAUGACAUUAAGAGCGAAACGACUACCAGAUCCUGCCAGUGUCGUUAUAGGGUUACUGACAGUCUGAAAAUUGGCAGUUGUAAGAACUUUUGGUAUAAUAUGAAACUGUACCAACUCAAUCUUUUGAUGAUCACUUAGAGAGUUAAGAACGCCAGAUUUGAUAAUGGCUGAAAAGGCCCCAUCGGUUGGGGCAAAGAUGGUGACACCAUCCCUCGAGUCAUUGAGCUGGGAGAAUACUUGGAUGUCCUCUUGAGU